AUGCAGUGUGCGGUUGGGCAUGUGAUCUGUUCGUCUUGCCACGACAAGCUCAAGAACAAGAACAAGUGCCACGCUGGUGCCACCACCGGAGGCUACAACCGUUGCAUAGCGAUCGACCACAUCCUGGAGUCUGUCCAGGCCCCUUGCUCCAACUCCAUAUACGGUUGCACCGUCAAGACGCGUUACCUCGAGCGACAGGAACACCAGAAGUCAUGCCCACUUGCACCGUGCUUCUGCCCCGAAGCUGGUUGCGGUUUCGCCGGCUUGACCACCCAGCUCCUUCACCAUCUCACUGAUGAUCACAAUAUACCAGUUACAGAGUUUCCAUCCGGAUGGUGUCUCACCCUCGAGAUACAAGUACAACAGAGUAUGCGGGUUCUCCACAUGAAAGAAGAAGAAGGCGGCCCCAUGUUCCUAGCUAAGUCCACACCAGUGCUGCCUUUUGGCAAUGUUGUCUCCAUCUUGUGCGUUGAUCCUCAUGCCGUGCCGGGGGAGCGCAAGUUCAGGUGUGAGGUUGAUUUCUACUGCAACACCCUAGGU
rnacentral:rRNA from 1 species